CAUUAACAGCCAUUGCAGUUUAUCUUGUUUAUAUAUGAAGAAUUAAUAUAGAUCUACAUGGCUUUGUUUUGUGGCUCUAAAGUAAAACAAUGGAUUUAUCUAUUAUUAAUUUUGCUUAUGAUGUUGUGGCGAAAAAGCAAAGACACUGAUGAUUUUGACUUGGCACUGUUAGCUGCAACUUCAUGGCCAAAUGCAUCGACAUUAGAAACGUCUAAAGACAAUACAAGUCAACACAAAGCAAAGAAAUUGUUGAUUUCAAAUCGGCGCCAUCAGAUGCAACUGACAGAACUUCUCCAAUUGCCUAUACUACAACGUCGUUUCGGUCUACGCUUGGUACUAUACAGUCGAGUAGAUGUACAUAAAACAUAUAGCAGUCAGUCAUGUUUUCAGCCUCAUCCGAGCGGAAAUGAUCCAAAAGCAAAGCGGAAAAUAAAGGCAUAUCGGGUAAUACUCAUGUAUAGAAAGCAAAGAUUUUGACUUGGCACUGUUAGCUGCAACUUCAUGGCCAAAUGCAUCGACAUUAGAAACGUCUAAAGACAAUACAAGUCAACACCAAACAUCCAUAAGUGGUACUGAAAGACCGCUAGUAGUUCAGGAACUAUGCCGGACAUUUAAAGUUUCAAAUAUCUCGGGUGAUUGGCAGUUGCGUGGAAAGUUUCUCAUAGAUCGAACUCUUUAUUACUGCGAUAUACCUAAAUGUGGAUCAGCCUUUAUGGAUCACUUUCUAUCGGGAACUUUUCAGUGUAAUGGAUUGUGUGAUGAAAUUUCUAUUACGUCAAAUGAACUGCGUCUACCUAUGAUUGGUACUUCGUACUCAUUUAUGUUCGUUAGAGAGCCAUAUGCAAGAUUAUUCUCUGCGUAUGAGAAUAAACUGUUCCUUCCAAACAAACACUGGACAAUUAUAGGAACAGACGUUAUCAAAAAAGUAAGACCUCGUGCAUCUUUUGUCAGCAAGAUAUUAGGUCAUGACGUCACAUUCCUUGAAUUAGUUAAAUAUGUACUGAAUUUGUACGAACGUGGAAUUAGACUUAACGAUCAUUUAGCUCCCAUGCAUUUGCAUUGCAAGACUUGUGAGAUCAGAUUUAAUUUCAUAGGAAGGCUAGAAUCAAUGUCAAGCGACCUUGUCGAUUUAGUUGAAGACUGGAAAACAAAAGGCAUAGUUUCUAAGAAUAUCUCAUCUGCCAAAGAAAUAGAAGCAAAUAUGGUGUAUAAACGUUCAUUUGGACCAUACAAACACAUGUUUACUAUUUUAAAGCAGUAUGGGGAGGUUCUGUCAAGAUACAAAGCAUUUCAAAGAGCUUGGUCAAGCUAUCAGAUUCGAGGACUUAUUCUCAAGAAAUACAACAUGCCUUUUGCAGAAAAUGACGUUGUAAAUGUAAAUUAUAUUCAGUUCGGAGAUGAAAUUAAAAAGGCUCUUGAUGCAAGCAUGGGACACAAAGACGAACUCAACGCCCAGAGGGAGGAAGCUCUUAUCCAAGCUUAUAGCUCUGUACCAAUGGACCUAAUGCUGAAGCUCAAAGAAUUCAUGAAACCAGAUUGUUUGUUAUUUGGUUACGAUGACAUGCCAGAAUUAUUAUUUAAUAGAACAAGUUUGCCAAAUUCUGAAAGAUUUGAUUAUUUUAAAUGGUUAUAACCUUAUGAUGUUACAUAGAAUUAGGUCUUGGUUAUAUUGAACGAACAUGAUAAACAAUAGAAUUCAAAUUGGUGUCUUGGUUAAAGAAUGAUACGCUCUGUAUUCGUCCAACAAAGACAGACUUCUUGUAUGCAAAAAAGUAAUUCAGUUGAGUAAUUUUGAUUGUUUGACAAAUAUAAAGAAGAUACCGACAAUUAGAGUAAAUGUGUUGGAUUUUAACAAAGAUAUUAAAAAACGAUUGUUUGUUAUUAUUUGGACCGUUAGACUUCAAAUGCAACUGUAGAUGUUACGAAGAGAUAGCAUCUAAAUUAUGGAAAAAGUGUUUAUAUAUAGCAUUUAAGACCGAGUAUGAUACUACAGUAUAAUUAUGUAAAAUAAGAGAAGAAAAACAAA
rnacentral:misc_RNA from 1 species